UACGUAGGUGGCGAGCGUUGUCCGGAAUUACUGGGUGUAAAGGGAGCGUAGGCGGUUUGGUAAGUUGAGUGUGAAAUCUACCGGCUUAACUGGUAGGCUGCGCUCAAAACUACCAAACUUGAGUGAAGUAGAGGCAGGCGGAAUUCCCGGUGUAGCGGUGGAAUGCGUAGAUAUCGGGAGGAACACCAGUGGCGAAGGCGGCCUGCUGGGCUUUUACUGACGCUGAUGCUCGAAAGCAUGGGGAGCAAACAGG
rnacentral:rRNA from 1 species